rnacentral:rRNA from 1 species
UACAGAGGUGGCAAGCGUUGUUCGGAAUUACUGGGCGUAAAGGGCGCGUAGGCGGCCCACUAAGUCAGACGUGAAAUCCCCCGGCUUAACCUGGGAACUGCGUCUGAUACUGGAGGGCUUGAGUAUGGGAGAGGGAUGUAGAAUUCCAGGUGUAGCGGUGAAAUGCGCAGAUAUCAGGAAGAACACCCGUGGCUAAGGCGGCUCUCUAGUACGGUACUGACGCUGAGACGCGAAAGCGUGGGGAGCGAACAGG